GACGAACGCUGGCGGCGUGCUUAACACAUGCAAGUCGAACGGAAAGGCCCUGCUUUUGUGGGGUGCUCGAGUGGCGAACGGGUGAGUAACACGAGAGUAACCUGCCCUUGACUUUGGGAUAACUUCAGGAAACUGGGGCUACUACCGGAUAGGAGCUCCUGCUGCAUGGUGGGGGUUGGAACGUUUCGGCGGUUGGGGAUGGACUCGCGGCUUAUCAGCUUGUUGGUGGGGUAGUGGCUUACCAAGGCUUUGACGGGUAGCCGGCCUGAGAGGGUGACCGGCCACAUUGGGACUGAGAUACGGCCCAGACUCCUACGGGAGGCAGCAGUGGGGAAUAUUGCACAAUGGGCGGAAGCCUGAUGCAGCAACGCCGCGUGCGUGAUGACGGCCUUCGGGUUGUAAACCGCUUUCGCCUGUGACGAAGCGUGAGUGACGGUAAUGGGUAAAGAAGCACCGGCUAACUACGUG
rnacentral:rRNA from 1 species